CCCUUAGAUGUUCUGGGCCGCACGCGCGCUACACUGACGAAUGCAACGAGCUUAUAACCUUGGCCGAAAGGUCUGGGUAAUCUCCAAAUUUCGUCGUGAUGGGGAUAGAUUAUUGCAAUUAUUAAUCUUCAACGAGGAAUGCCUAGUAAGCGCAAGUCAUCAGCUUGCGUUGAUUACGUCCCUGCCCUUUGUACACACCGCCCGUCGCUCCUACCGAUUGAAUGGUCCGGUGAAGCGCUCGGACCGCGGCCUCUUGACGGUUCGCUGUCGAUUGGCUGUGGGAAGUUCGUUAAACCUUAUCAUUUAGAGGAAGGAGANGUCGUNACA
rnacentral:rRNA from 1 species